rnacentral:rRNA from 1 species
GAUGAACGCUGGCGGCGUGCUUAACACAUGCAAGUCGAACGGGAAACCUUUUAUUGAAGCUUCGGCAGAUUUAGCUGGUUUCUAGUGGCGGACGGGUGAGUAACGCGUGGGUAACCUGCCCUAUACAGGGGGAUAACAACCAGAAAUGGUUGCUAAUACCGCAUAAGCGCACAGGGCCGCAUGGUCCGGUGUGAAAAACUGCGGUGGUAUAGUAUGGACCCGCGUUGGAUUAGCCAGCUGGCAGGGUAACGGCCUACCAAAGCGACGAUCCAUAGCCGGCAUGAGAGGGUGAAAGGCCACGUUGGGACUGAGACACGGCCCAGACUCCUACGGGAGGCAGCAGUGGGGAAUAUUGCACAAUGGGGGAAACCCUGAUGCAGCGACGCCGCGUGAAGGAAGAAGUAUCUCGGUAUGUAAACUUCUAUCAGCAGGGAAGAUAGUGACGGUACCUGACGAAGAAGCCCCGGCUAACUACGUG